rnacentral:rRNA from 1 species
UACGUAGGGGGCAAGCGUUGUCCGGAAUUAUUGGGCGUAAAGAGCGUGUAGGCGGGUAUUUAAGUCAGGUGUGAAAACUUGGGGCUCAACCUCAUAGAUUGCACUUGAAACUGGAUACCUUGAGGGUAAGAGAGGGCAGUGGAAUUCCUAGUGUAGCGGUGAAAUGCGUAGAUAUUAGGAGGAACACCAGUGGCGAAGGCGACUGCCUGGCUUACAACUGACGCUGAGACGCGAAAGCGUGGGGAGCAAACAGG